rnacentral:rRNA from 1 species
UUGGCUCUCGCAUCGAUGAAGAACGCAGCGAAAUGCGAUAAGUAAUGUGAAUUGCAGAAUUCAGUGAAUCAUCGAAUCUUUGAACGCACCUUGCGCUCCUUGGUAUUCCGAGGAGCAUGCCUGUUUGAGUGUCAUUAAAUUCUCAACCCCUCCAGCUU